GGAAUAUUGGACAAUGGGCGCAAGCCUGAUCCAGCCAUGCCGCGUGAGUGAUGACGGCCCUAGGGUUGUAAAGCUCUUUCACCGGUGAAGAUAAUGACGGUAACCGGAGAAGAAGCCCCGGCUAACUUCGUGCCAGCAGCCGCGGUAAUACGAAGGGGGCUAGCGUUGUUCGGAAUUACUGGGCGUAAAGCGCACGUAGGCGGAUACUUAAGUUAGGGGUGAAAUCCCGGGGCUCAACCCCGGAACUGCCUUUAAUACUGGGUAUCUCGAGUUCGAGAGAGGUGAGUGGAAUUCCGAGUGUAGAGGUGAAAUUCGUAGAUAUUCGGAGGAACACCAGUGGCGAAGGCGGCUCACUGGCUCGAUACUGACGCUGAGGUGCGAAAGCGUGGGGAGCAAACAG
rnacentral:rRNA from 1 species